UACGUAGGGUGCAAGCGUUGUCCGGAAUUAUUGGGCGUAAAGAGCUCGUAGGCGGUUUGUCGCGUCUGCUGUGAAAACCCGAGGCUCAACCUCGGGCCUGCAGUGGGUACGGGCAGACUAGAGUGCGGUAGGGGAGAUUGGAAUUCCUGGUGUAGCGGUGGAAUGCGCAGAUAUCAGGAGGAGCACCGAUGGCGAAGGCAGAUCUCUGGGCCGUAACUGACGCUGAGGAGCGAAAGCAUGGGGAGCGAACAGG
rnacentral:rRNA from 1 species